rnacentral:rRNA from 1 species
UACGUAGGGGGCAAGCGUUGUCCGGAAUUAUUGGGCGUAAAGAGCGUGUAGGCGGCCAGAUAAGUCCGUUGUGAAAACUCGAGGCUCAACCUCGAGACGUCGACGGAAACCAUCUGGCUAGAGUCCGGAAGAGGAGAGUGGAAUUCCUGGUGUAGCGGUGAAAUGCGCAGAUAUCAGGAAGAACACCCGUGGCGAAGGCGGCUCUCUGGGACGGUACUGACGCUGAGACGCGAAAGCGUGGGGAGCGAACAGG